rnacentral:rRNA from 1 species
GGGCUGCCUAUACAUGCAAGUCGAACGAGCUUCCGUUGAAUGACGUGCUUGCACUGAUUUCAACAAUGAAGCGAGUGGCGAACUGGUGAGUAACACGUGGGGAAUCUGCCCAGAAGCAGGGGAUAACACUUGGAAACAGGUGCUAAUACCGUAUAACAACAAAAUCCGCAUGGAUUUUGUUUGAAAGGUGGCUUCGGCUAUCACUUCUGGAUGAUCCCGCGGCGUAUUAGUUAGUUGGUGAGGUAAAGGCCCACCAAGACGAUGAUACGUAGCCGACCUGAGAGGGUAAUCGGCCACAUUGGGACUGAGACACGGCCCAAACUCCUACGGGAGGCAGCAGUAGGGAAUCUUCCACAAUGGACGAAAGUCUGAUGGAGCAAUGCCGCGUGAGUGAAGAAGGGUUUCGGCUCGUAAAACUCUGUUGUUAAAGAAGAACACCUUUGAGAGUAACUGUUCAAGGGUUGACGGUAUUUAACCAGAAAGCCACGGCUAACUACGUGCCAGCAGCCGCGGUAAUACGUAGGUGGCAAGCGUUGUCCGGAUUUAUUGGGCGUAAAGCGAGCGCAGGCGGUUUUUUAAGUCUGAUGUGAAAGCCUUCGGCUUAACCGGAGAAGUGCAUCGGAAACUGGGAGACUUGAGUGCAGAAGAGGACAGUGGAACUCCAUGUGUAGCGGUGGAAUGCGUAGAUAUAUGGAAGAACACCAGUGGCGAAGGCGGCUGUCUAGUCUGUAACUGACGCUGAGGCUCGAAAGCAUGGGUAGCGAACAGGAUUAGAUACCCUGGUAGUCCAUGCCGUAAACGAUGAGUGCUAAGUGUUGGAGGGUUUCCGCCCUUCAGUGCUGCAGCUAACGCAUUAAGCACUCCGCCUGGGGAGUACGACCGCAAGGUUGAAACUCAAAGGAAUUGACGGGGGCCCGCACAAGCGGUGGAGCAUGUGGUUUAAUUCGAAGCUACGCGAAGAACCUUACCAGGUCUUGACAUCUUCUGCCAAUCUUAGAGAUAAGACGUUCCCUUCGGGGACAGAAUGACAGGUGGUGCAUGGUUGUCGUCAGCUCGUGUCGUGAGAUGUUGGGUUAAGUCCCGCAACGAGCGCAACCCUUAUUAUCAGUUGCCAGCAUUCAGUUGGGCACUCUGGUGAGACUGCCGGUGACAAACCGGAGGAAGGUGGGGAUGACGUCAAAUCAUCAUGCCCCUUAUGACCUGGGCUACCACGUGCUACAAUGGACGGUACAACGAGU